AACGCACAUUGCGCCCUUUGGUAUUCCGAAGGGCAUGCCUGUUCGAGCGUCAUUUCACCACUCAAGCCUGGCUUGGUAUUGGGCGUCGCGGUGUUCCGCGCGCCUUAAAGUCUUCCGGCUGAGCUGUCCGUCUCCAAGCGUUGUGGAUUUUUCAAUUCGCUUCGGAGUGCGGGUGGCCGCGGCCGUUAAAUCUUUAUUCAAAGGUUGACCUCGGAUCAGGUAGGGAUACCCGCUGAACUUAA
rnacentral:misc_RNA from 1 species